UACGUAGGGGGCAAGCGUUGUCCGGAUUUAUUGGGCGUAAAGAGCGUGUAGGCGGCCAGGUAGGUCGGUUGUGAAAACUCGAGGCUCAACCUCGAGAUGUCGACCGAAACCAUCUGGCUAGAGUCCGGAAGAGGAGAGUGGAAUUCCUGGUGUAGCGGUGAAAUGCGCAGAUAUCAGGAAGAACACCCGUGGCGAAGGCGGCUCUCUGGGACGGUACUGACGCUGAGACGCGAAAGCGUGGGGAGCGAACAGG
rnacentral:rRNA from 1 species